rnacentral:rRNA from 1 species
UGGAGGUGUAAGAGACCCCCAAGGCGACGAUGGGUAGCCGGCCUGAGAGGGUGACCGGCCACACUGGAACUGAGACACGGUCCAGACUCCUACGGGAGGCAGCAGUGGGGAAUCUUCCGCAAUGGGCGCAAGCCUGACGGAGCAACGCCGCGUGAGUGAAGAAGGCCUUCGGGUUGUAAAACUCUGUCAUCAGGGAAGAAGAAAGUGACGGUACCUGAGGAGGAAGCCCCGGCUAACUACGUGCCAGCAGCCGCGGUAAAACGUAGGGGGCGAGCGUUGUCCGGAAUUACUGGGCGUAAAGGGCGCGUAGGCGGUUAUCCAAGUCAGGGGUGAAAACCUUGGGCUCAACUCAGGGCCUGCCUCUGAAACUGGGUAACUUGAGGGCAGGAGAGGGGAGUGGAAUUCCCAGUGUAGCGGUGAAAUGCGUAGAUAUUGGGAGGAACACCAGUGGCGAAGGCGGCUCUCUGGCCUAACCCUGACGCUGAGGCGCGAAAGCGUGGGGAUCAAACAGGAUUAGAUACCCUGGUAGUCCACGCCGUAAACGAUGGGUGCUAGGUGUAGGAGGUAUCGACCCCUUCUGUGCCGUAGUUAACAC